UUAACAUGUUUCUUAUGCCAGUAAAGCCCCUUACAUUGAAUUGAGAGAGAGAGAGAGAGAGAGAGAGAGAGAGAGAGAGAGAGAGAGAGAGAGAGAGAGAGAGAGAGAGAGAGAGAGAAAGAUUGGAGGUUGGAGCAGAGAGCAGGAACCAUUCACUGAGACACCUUGUGGAUUGAUGAACUAUUCCAAAUGGACAGAAUUCCAUUUGUGUGUGUGUGUGUGUGUGUGUGUGUGUGUGUGUGUGUGUGUGUGUGUGAGUGGAAGAGAGAGAGCCAGGAUGAUAUUUUCAGCAGAAGGGAGGUAUUCUAGAGUGUGGAGUUUACAUUGAGCUAUGCUUACUGAGAUGUGGGCUAGCAGCAGUCAGAAGAUAUCUAUAUGUAUCUGUCUCACUGCAGCCAUGGCUGAGGCUUUCAGAGGAGGCUUUUAGUGUGUGUGUGUGUGUGUGUUCACUUUAGUGUUGGGUGUGUGGAAACUAAACUACUGUUUUGGUGGUUGUAUCACUUAUGUCUAUAUGCUCACUGGACUGUGAGUGUGUGUGUGUGUGUGUGUGUGUGUGUGUGUGUGUGUGUGUGUGUGUGUGUGUGUGUGUGUGUGUGUGUGUGUGUGUGUGUGUGUGUGUGUGUGUGUGUGUGUGUGUGUGUGUGUGUGUGUGUGUUUUGUUCUCUGUUCACUCAGAUUUAUAAUGUUCAGUCUACUGGAAAGACAAGGCCAUCUUCUCUCUCUCUCUACCUCACCACCUCAGCGGUGCAGUGUCCAGUCCAACCACUGUCUCCCUGGUCUUUUCCUGGUCUAGCCCCAGGCUCUGCUUUCAGCAUGCUGACCCUGUCUGCCUGACUGCCAUGUGUUCUGUCAUUUUCAGGGGUUGAGAGAAGAGAGGAGAGGGAGAGGACAGGCAGAGAGGAGAGGACAGGGAGAGGACAGGCAGAGAGGACAGGCAGAGAGGACAGGGAGAGGACAGGGCGAGGACAGGGAGAGAGAGGACAGGCAGAGAGAGGACAGGGAGAGGACAGGCAGAGAGGAGAGGGAGAUAACAUUUGUAAUGUCUUUAUUAGUUAGGAACUUCUGUGAGUGUAAUGUUUACUGUUCAUUUUUAUUGUUUAUUACACUUUUCUAUAUUAUCUACCUCACUUGCUUUGGCAAUAUAAACAUAUGUUUCCCAUGCCAAUAAAGCCCUUAAAUUGAAAUUGAAAUUGAAUUUAAUUGAGAGAGAGGACAGGAGAGGGAGAAAGCGGAAGGGGGACAAGUAGAGGGAGAAAGCGGAAGGAGGACAAGUAGAGGGAGAAAGCGGAAGGGGGACAAGUAGAGGGAGAAAGCGGAAGGGGG
rnacentral:lncRNA from 1 species